UAAACAUUGAUAGCACAUUACACCCGCUAUCCGCCUGGGAACUACGAGCGUUAGCUUAAAACCCAAAGGACUUGGCGGUGCUUAAGAUCCACCUAGAGGAGCCUGUUCUAGAACCGAUGACCCCCGUUCAACCUCACCCUCCCUUGCUUUUCCCGCCUAUAUACCGCCGUCGUCAGCUUACCCUGUGAAGGUUCAACAGUAAGCAAAAUUGGCACAGCCCAAAACGUCAGGUCGAGGUGUAGCGUAUGAGAGGGGAAGAAAUGGGCUACAUUCCCUAACAUAGGGAAUACGGACAAUGCACUGAAACGUGCAUUUCAAGGAGGAUUUAGUAGUAAGCAGAAAAUAGAGCAUUCUGCUGAAACCGGCCCUAAAGCGCGCACACACCGCCCGUCACUCUCCCCGAGCUAAGAUUAUUUACAUAACUAAAAUACCCCACCUGCAAAGGGGAGGCAAGUCGUAACAUGGUAAGUGUACCGGAAGGUGCACUUGGAAAAAU
rnacentral:rRNA from 1 species